GUUAAGUCCCGCAACGAGCACAACCCUUGAUCUUAGUUGCCAGCAUUCAGUUGGGCACUCUAAGGUGACUGCCGGUGACAAACCGGAGGAAGGUGGGGAUGACGUCAAAUCAUCAUGCCCCUUAUGACCUGCGCUACACACGUGCUACAAUGGGCAGAACAAAGGGCAGCGAAACCGUCGAGGUUAAGCCAAUCCCACAAAUCUGUUCUCAGUUCGGAUCGCAGUCUGCAACUCGACUUGCGUGAAGCUGGAAUCGCUAGUAAUCGCGGAUCAGCAUGCCGGCGGUGAAUACGUUCCUCGGGCCUGUUGUACACACCAGCCACUGUCACACCACGAUGAGUUUGUAACACCGCGAAGUCGGUGAGGUAACCUUUUUGGAGCCAGGCGCCGAAGGUGGGACAGAGUGAUUGGGGUGAAGUCGUAACAAGGUAGCCGUAUCGGAAGGUGCGGCAUGGUAUCACGGUCCUUUCUAAU
rnacentral:rRNA from 1 species